CAAUGGCGUGGGGCGUGGUCUUAAGGCGCGGAACGUGGCUUUACGACAAUAUCAGCAUGGUCACUUUGGAGGGCCCGGAGCUUUACGACGUGGCUGGGAGGCGAGCGCGGAGCUUUACGACAGGGUGGAGGCGUGGCUUGAAAGUGGGCGCAAAGCUUUAACCACAAGGGAGGGGCGUGGCCUUGAGAAGAUACCCAAGGGGUGGAUAUGGCGUUCUUCGGGAAGGCUGAACUAGUUGAGUGCAGGCCCAGAGAUUGCGGAGCACAAAGAUCAAGGUGCAGCAUGGUUCUCCCCUGUAUCUCUGCUCUCUGUCCUGGGAGCCCCCGCCGGAGUGUGCUCAACCUAUGGACGGAGGGAGGCCAUUGCUGACAUGUUGACUCGUGGUGCCCGCUGUGUGCUGAGAAGGGAAGACUUACUGACGCCCGACUUGUGCACAGAAUGGACCUCACCAUUGGCUGGCUGAUUGAUUGCUUAAUGCUGAUUGCUUAAUGCCUGUUCUGUACAAAACAUGGAAGAAAUCAUUCAUUUGUCAA